rnacentral:rRNA from 1 species
AAGUCCCUACGGGGGGCAGCAGUGGGGAGUAUUGCACAAUGGGGGAAACCCUGAUGCAGCGACGCUGCGUGAGUGAAGAAGUAUUUCGGUAUGUAAAGCUCUAUCAGCAGGGAAGAAAAUGACGGUACCUGACUAAGAAGCCCCGGCUAACUACGUGCCAGCAGCCGCGGUAAUACGUAGGGGGCAAGCGUUAUCCGGAUUUACUGGGUGUAAAGGGAGCGUAGACGGCAGAGCAAGUCUGAAGUGAAAGCCCGCGGCCCAACUGCGGGACUGCUUUGGAAACUGCCCGGC